UGUUACCCAUAAACCUUUAGUUUUGUAAGAGAGAUAAAAAAUGGAUCAGACUCUUGGGCUUAACAAGUUUUGGUGUCCUUCACUUUUCUCACAUAAAUUCAUCUAAAGAUAAGCGAAGAAGCGAGCUCGGUUUACUUUUCUUUCUUGGUUUAAUCUUCGGUUCACUUCUAAAUGUUGGUUUUAUUUCGAACAGGGAAACAAUUGGUUUGAUUAAAAACUAGAUUUGGGUUUUAAAUUUUACACAAACACAACCAUGAUUACAAUUCGAACCAAAAUCAAUUUAAAAACAAUAAAAGAAAAU
rnacentral:lncRNA from 1 species